GGACCCGCACAAGCGGUGGAGCAUGUGGUUUAAUUCGAUGCAACGCGAAAAACCUUACCUACUCUUGACAUACUUGGAAGCUCUUGUAAUGAGAGUGUGCCUUUUGGAACCAAGAUACAGGUGCUGCAUGGCUGUCGUCAGCUCGUGUCGUGAGAUGUUCCGUUAAGUCGGAUAACGAGCGCAACCCUUACCCUUAUUUGCCAGCGAUUCGGUCGGGAACUAUAAGGGGACUGCCGGUGAUAAACCGGAGGAAGGUGAGGACGACGUCAAGUCAUCAUGGCCCUUACGUAUAGGGCUACACACGUGCUACAAUGGAGAAUACAGACGGACGCUAAGCCGCGAGGUGGUG
rnacentral:rRNA from 1 species